GACGAACGCUGGCGGCGUGCCUAAUACAUGCAAGUCGAACGCUUCUUUUCCCACCGGAGCUUGCUCCACCGGGAAAAGAGGAGUGGCGAACGGGUGAGUAACACGUGGGUAACCUGCCCAUCAGAAGGGGAUAACACUUGGAAACAGGUGCUAAUACCGUAUAACAAUCGAAACCGCAUGGUUUCGUUUUGAAAGGCGCUUUACGGUGCCGCUGAUGGAUGGACCCGCGGUGCAUUAGCUAGUUGGUGAGGUAACGGCUCACCAAGGCCACGAUGAAUAGCCGACCGGAGAGGGUGAUCGGCCACAUUGGGACUGAGACACGGCCCAAACUCCUACGGGAGGCAGCAGUAGGGAAUCUUCGGCAAUGGACGAAAGUCUGACCGAGCAACGCCGCGUGAGUGAAGAAGGUUUUCGGAUCGUAAAACUCUGUUGUUAGAGAAGAACAAGGGUGAGAGUAACUGUUCACCCCUUGACGGUAUCUAACCAGAAAGCCACGGCUAACUACGCGCCAGCCGCCGCAGUAA
rnacentral:rRNA from 1 species